AGAGAAUGCCUGUGUACUCAAACCCUAUCUUCUUUCCUCUCCUUAGUCUUUCUUCAGUCUGCCUAUGAACUCUGGCUAGAUUCUUUUAUACUUUAGAUUAUUCACUUUUAGAGGAGAAACUACUUUUGAUUGUGUGUAAAUGAGAUGCCUGAAACCUGCAUAUAUCAAUUAGCUGCUUCAAGAAAAUAGCAAGUAAAAUGAUAGACACUUCAAUUCCAGUGAAGGCUAUCAGAAAUGUCAUAUACACAUAUACUUAAACUAUAUUUGUUCCUUUUUUUUUUUUUGCUAUUUCUUUGGGCCACUCCCGCGGCAUAUGGAGGUUCCCAGGCUAGGGGUCUAAUCAGAGCUGUAGCCGCCAGCCUACGCCAGAGCCACAGCAACGCGGGAUCUGAGCCGCGUCUGCAACCUACACCACAGCUCACGGCAACGCCGGAUCGUUAACCCACUGAGCAAGGGCAGGGACCGAACCCUCAACCUCAUGGUUCCUAUCAGAUUCGUUAACCACUGCGCCACGACGGGAAAUCCCUCAUUCUUUUUAGUAGUAUUCCAUUGUGUAUAUAUAUAUAUACAUCAGAUGUUCUUUACCCAUUUGUCAGUUGAUGGACACUUAGGUUUCUUUGUUGGCAGUUGUAAAUAAAUGCUGCUAUGAACGUUGAGGUGCAUAUAUCUUUUCAAACUGGUGUUUCCAUUUUUUUCAGAUCUAUACCCAAGGGAGGAAUUGCUGGUUCGUGUGAUAGUUCUAUUUACAGUUUUUUUGAGAAAUCUCCAUAGUGUUUUCCACAGUGACUGCACCAAUUUACAUUCCUACCAAUGGUAUAUUUUUGUAUAAAUGGGGAGCCUGUGAGAGGCAUAUACAUAAUGCUUAUAGUUGUAGUUCAUUCAUUUUCAUUUAUCUAUAGUUGUCCAUUGUGAUAAUAAAUCAUAAUUUAUUUAACCAUUCUGUCAACGAAUAUUUGAGCAUUUAUAUUUUUCAGGGUACCUCUCACCCAUUUUAAAAAAUAUUACAGGGGCUAUGGACAUUUUCUGAAAUAUACUAAUGAGGAAAUCUGAAAGUCUUUAUCAGUUCUCUACUUUAGAAAUUGCAUAGUGGUGAAUUUACCUUUUAGUUUAGAAACUUAUCUGUCCACAUACAAUCCAAAUCCACUAUCUCAGUUACCCAUUACUUCAGCUUCUGGUGUAUAACAAGUACUCCAACUUAAUGGCUUAAAGGCUUAAAACAACCAGUAUUUACUUAGCUGUUUAUUGUUGUUUUUAUUCUAAGUAUUAGCAGUUUAGCCUGGGUUCUGGUGAUCUGGGCCAGACCUGGCUUAUCUUGGUUGAGACAACUGAGUCACCUUCUCCCUGUGGUUUUUCAUUCUUUAGCAGACUAUAUAAGGAUUGUUUGCAUGGUGGUCUCCUUCCAACAGAAGUGUGGAAUGUGUCCCAGGCCUCUUAAAGAGUGCCCAGAUAGAGAACAGUUACUACUUUGCUUCCUCGAUUUCUUUUACCCAAAAGAAGUCACAAGGACAGCACAGAUUCAAGUAGUGAAGAAGUAGAAUGCCAUGUCUUAGUGAGAGAAUAGCAAGCGGGUGGGUUCAGGAAGGGAAAGAAUUUUUUCCUUCCUCUUUCUCUCUCUCUCUUCCUUUCUUCCUUCAUUUCUUUUCUUUCUUUCUCUCUCUCUCCACCAUACCCACAUUUUGCAUUUGCUUUUAGAAAAAUAAAUCCCAGUGCUUCAACUUGACUAGCAUCUUUGUUUUUGAUAUACAUUUAUAUAAACUUUUAUUUUUAUCUCUGUUGUAAAACAGUGUUUGGGAAUUCCUCCUGUGGCACAGUGGGUUAAGAACCCAAAUUCAGCAGCUGUGGUGGUUGCUUAGGUGCGGUUUUGAUCUCUAGUCCUGUGCAGUGGAUUAAAGGAUCCAGCGUUACGGCAGCUGGGGUUUAUGUUGUAGCUGGGGCUUGAAUUCAGUCCCUGACCCAGGAACUUCAUGUGCCAUGGGUGUGGCCAAUAAAAAGAAAAAACAAAAAA
rnacentral:lncRNA from 1 species